GCCGGGCGCAGUGGCACACGCCUGUGAUCCCAGCAGCUUGGGAGGCUGAGACAGGAAGAUCGCGAGGUCAGAAUCAGCCUGGAUAAGGAGGAGAUGCUAAGCAACUCAGUGAGACCCUGUCUCUA
rnacentral:sRNA from 1 species